ACCACCCUUUAGCUGCUGGUAAUGCUUCCAUGAUGCGGCCCAGGAUAUGUUUGGCUUUCUGAGCUGCAAGUGAACACUGCUGGACUAUUCCCAACAUUUGUAGCGGCACAGCAACUUCUUAGGUAGUAUCCCAAAUACGUUCCAAUUCCAGCACCCAGAGUGGACUGGAAUUGGUGUAUGUGGCACAGCCCUUACUCAUCCCCAGCAUGGACCCCCAAUCUACACCAGUUAUCUGAACCAUCUGUUGGUGGGAAUGCAGUUACUGUGACAUCUGGUCACAUCCGCCAGCUGUUGCAGAGAAGGGAUGGAGUCAAAGGUGUCUGAGAGGAGGGAGGAGCACUGUGGGAUCCUGCUGGGUGUAAGUUUAUGGAUGACAGGCAAGCAUGUGAAUCCUGAAUUUAUAUACAGAAAAAUAAAGAAAUCCAAAUUGGUAAUAUAUUGAAGAAGUUAAAAGAAUGACAUAGAUACAAUGUUCCCAGCAUAGAGCCUGAAGUUAACAUCAAAAUCCAGCCGAAGAAGAUAGACCGUAUAUCUGGGAUUGGCAAUAAACAAGCUCUGUGAAUAAAUAUACCUGAUGAAACAGUGAAAUAGUCUGUGUGGCACUGAGAAUGUUCCUCCCCUUGCAGUACAGCAGCUGGAAAAUUAUGACACAACCGCAGUGACACAGUUCCCCCCCAUGGAGCAUUUUUACAGCAAGACAAGUAAAAAAUCCCCUAUAGGUGUGAAGACCUUUCUACCAAGUGUGUUUUUCUACAAAGGUACAGCAAGUCAGUCCAAUGCAUCCCUCAUCACCAAAUCACGUGCUUUUGGCAGCCAGUAGCCAGCUACCAGCUGAGUCAAGAUACACCCUCAUCUCCUGCCUGUUGCCUUUGAACAGCAGUUAUGGAUUAAGCCUGACAGUGUGAAAAUAAAUGGGAGAGUGUAGCUGAAGCCAAGCAUUUAUCAAGCCUGGAUGUACUCUAUGCAAGGCAAAACUGGACUAUUAAUACAUCCUUUCUGAUUUAAUUAAUCAUUAAGAGAGUGAUUGUGAUUUCUAUUGUCCCCUUCACAGGAAUCCAUGCAAAUGUAGAAAGGACCUUUAGACUGUGAAGAGCAGCACAAGACAAAGAACAAAUGUGUUUGUCCCCAACUGCAGUAAAUAGCUGAAGAAGCUGAGAUCAGAAGCUAAUCAGUGGUGGCACUUGACAUAUCAGUAGUUCAUGUGAAAUGACGAGUUGGAGAAAAGGCCAUGAAGGCACGUGACAGGUUAUCUGUGAAGUGACAGAAAUGGGUAAAAAAAAAAAGAAGAAAAAAAGAAAAAAAAAGGAAAGGAUGCAAAGAGAGGAAUAGAGAGAUGCCCCUUGCGGAAACAUUUCAGAUGGCUGUCCCUAAGCCUAAUCUGGAUUUGUAAAAUCUGCAGAAAGAUGUUGCACACGUAAGAUGAAAGCUGGGGAAAACUGUGCAGAUGAAGUGUCACCCACAUUAUUAUGGAGCUGACAGGUCCAAGCCCACUGCUUUCCAGGUAGGAGACCUCAGCAAGGACAGCCCUCUUGGGUCCACUUAGCUCAUGGUCCUGUCUCCAAGAAUGACAAGUUGCAGAUUCCUCUGGAAAAGAAGCAACACAUAAACAGGAAAGAAUGGCAAAAGUGAUCACUGAAAUACCUUGUGGAGAUGCUGAGACAUUUUGGGACAGGGAGGGUCGGCUAAGAACUCACAGCUAAGCCAAACUGCUGAUGAAUACCUUUUGCCACCUUUGGUUUCUCAUAAGAAAGGUUGCAGCUUGAAUAGAAAGUCAAUAGCUCUUUCCCCCUUCACCAGAUCAUCUCAGAGGAAACUGCUGCUCUGUAAUUCCCUGAAGAAUUGCCCAGGAAAAUCAAAAAAUGCUAAACUUAGCAAAGAUAAUGUUUCUGAAAGAUAAUGGAGGGAGAAAAAAAAAAAACAGUCCGAGGAGCAAGCCAGAGUUUUUCACAUGCACUGUAAAGAAAAAGGACAGAGAUACACAUUUCCUAUCAUUGUAGGUCACUCUUCAGUGCUUCAUCUUGAUAUGAAUAGAUCCCUCAACAGUUAACUCAGCCAAGGGAGAUUUCAGAUCAAUCCUCCUUACUCCAGCCAUGCCUUCUUCUAAAUCAAUAAUGGCUGAUGAAUACCUCUGCCAAGCUCAUAACACAGACACAAUGGAAAUCCUGCUCUUUUAGAAAGUGCCUUUGCAAGCCCUUUGGAUAAGGGGUGCUUUACUGCUUCUCCUCUAAAUCUCAGCAGUGAAGCUGAAUUCCUGAUGAUGCUGCCAUUCUGCAGAGGCAGCACUGCACUGUAACCUGCUCCUCUCUGCUCUUGGAGGAUUUAGCAAGAGCUGUUUGAAUUCAUUUGGAAAUGAAUUCAAACACACGACCCAUAUACCUUUCAUCUUUAAUAAAGUCUGGGUUUUUUUUUAUUUAGACUCUGCUUUCACAGCAGAAGCAACCUUGUUUUUCAAAAUAUCACUCUGAUAAUUGGAGAUUUUUUUUUUAAAGUGUAAAGUUCUGUAAGCAGUGUGAGCUAUCUGAAUUAAGAGUUAGGGUUUCCUUGCCUGCAAAAACUGGGAAAACUUAAAAAGUCGGAAAGAUCAGGUGGAUCUUGCAGUUUACAUUCGUACAUCAAAACCCUUAAUUGCACUGAAGCACUGAAAAAAGAAUCACUUCUGUUAACUUGAAAGCUAGGAUGCAAUUUUUUGAGAAUUCUAUCCUUUUUGAUGUAGAUAUUCCCAGUAAAAACUAUGCCUGAUUAUAAUGUACAGUAGCAAUGUCCAUAAUUAAAAUAUUUUCUCUUUCAAAAAUCCCCAGUAAUAAUAAUAAUAUCUCUUUUCAACAGUACAUGAAUCUAAAAUAAUAAAAUAAAACCGAAGUUACAAACAUAUACCACUCCAGCAUAUGCAAACAGACUUGGCAGUUCUAAAUACAGAUUUAUGUCUGGAAGGAUGUAUUCUCCUUGAAGCUGUUUGUGCAACCUACUUAUCAGAAGAAAGAGAUUUCCUGGAGAUUUCCUUUAAUUAGUUGGAACAAGCUAUCAGUAAAAUAAGCAACUAAAACUAUAAGCAUAUAAGCUGGCAUAGUUUAUUAAAAAACAAUAAUUGAAAAUAUAUCCUAAAAUUCAAGAAGGGAGUGGCCAAGUUCAGUAAUAACUAUUUCUGUGUGCACAACACUUUUUAUAAGAGUCUAGGGAGGGAAAAGUUAGCAGUCUGCUAGCAAAGAUAAUGAGGGGACAGAAAAUACAUGAUCCAUGCUAAUUUGGUUUACGUCCCUCCCUUUUCCAGUUUCUGAAAGUCUGCUUAUUCUUGUGGCAUUUAGGAAUCAUCAUCCCUGCCAGUGAUGGAUUUGCACUAAGUCAUUGAGGCAAUGUGAUGUCAUUUCCAAAAAUUCUGAAUCAGAUGAACUUUAAAGUUUGCAAUGCAGCUAUUUUACCCUGCCUGUUUGCUGGAGUAGCCACGGCCCAGGGUGAUUUGAAUAGGCGAGGUGAGCUUCCAGGGGAUUACAGGAGGCAGGAGAUGUGUUCCUUCUAUUACCCAUAAUAGGAAUUGUAUGACUCAUUCCUCUCACACCAGGCUAAAAUGUACCCCCGCAGUUCUCUACUAUGUAUAUUGACUUGAAUGAAGCUUUGUGUAAUAAGAUUUAAAUUGUAAUGAGUCAUUAUGUCAACCUUUUUUCGCUGGUAUUUUACAUAGUAAGUCUGCACAGAGUGCAGUGUGCUACUGCAGAAAAUCCUAGCAAGGGUGGUUAGUUGAGAGUGGUUAGCUUUAAAAAAAAAACUACUAGGAAAACUUCUCACAAAAUCUUAGCAUGACCAUAGUUUCAAAAGGAUGAUUUGUGUGUAUAAGUGUCCUUAUUACAGCCAUUAUCACCAGUCCAAGAUUCACUCCUUAAUCCAUUACAUUUAGUUAUAUGUCCUCAUUUGCUUUUAGUGGGACGAGACAGUCUUGUUUAUAUGGGCUUGAGGUGAAGGAUAUCAAAGUAUUAUUUUUCAAGAUUGUUUAAGCAUUCAGCCAUGCCCACUCACACAAAAAGCUGUUUCCUAAUAAUCCUUUUAUCAGCCUGAAGCUGAAACAACUUUCUUUCUUGCAAGGAUCUGUUAUUGAGAGUUUCUUAUUAGUAACUAGAUGCUGACAUGAUUUCACUGAAAAAUAAGCACAGUCCUGAAAAGCUUUUGAUUUAUUUUUUUUAAUUGCAUAACAUGUAAAGUAUAAACACAAACUGUAUCUCUUUAAUUGCUUAAAUUAAAAGGAUUUCUAGCUCAGCAGUUUCUCUCAUUUUCAGUACGCAUUGGUGGCAUGUUACCAAAGUACCUCUGAAAACACUAAAGCUGGCUGGGGCUGAAAGGGGUGUGGAAAUAUUAUUUUUGUGUUCACUGUAAAAGCUGUUCAAAACCACCAACAAACCCAUUGUUUUACUGUAGCAAAGCAAUGACUAUUUUGUGCAAAAUCAGCUGUAGAUAAAUAUCUUUUUUUUCUUAUAAUGAAGUAAAGAAAUAACUUUGUCUUGAGAUAUCAUUUUGUGUCCAGUGACUCUAAUAGGUAAAUUUUGUUAAUCUCCACCAAAAAGUAAACAGAUUCUAUGCCUAGAAUGUGGCUCUUCCUUGUCAACUUUUUAAAGACAGAGGUUAACAAAAUUUUUCAUGAAACAAAUACACAAUCUCCAAACAGUUUUCUCCACGAUUCUGCAUCAAUCUACAAAGGACUAUUCUCUGGCCAGUCUCUAAAUUCUGGUGCUCCCUGUUUAAAUAUCCCCAAGAAGUAUCAACACACUUCUCUUCUGCUCUCUUCUCACCUGAAAAUUUAAUAUCAAGAGUUAAAUGACUUAAUACUAUAAGAGAAUAAGUUGGGAAAGUGUGAGAAGGACCAAUGGAUUGACAACGAAAUGGGAAAGACAACUGAAGUUUAAAGCUUGUAGCACAUCACAGUAACUCCUGUGACUCUUGCAUUUGAACUCGUGAUUCUCUUAAAAAUCUAAGUGUUUACAAGGCAGGCACCAGAGGCUGUAGUUGAAAGCCACAGAACUGGCAAAUCUCAGUCUCUAAUAACUGGGGUCCUUUUCCCUUUUCUCCCCUAAUACAUAUUGCUGUGAAAUGGUGUCAAUAACCAAAAGACCACAGCGCUGGCUUCUUAUUUUCCCAGCUCAUCCUUGGAUGUACCUUUUCUCAUCCUCCCAGAAAACUGUUAUAUAUUUCAGGAUUGGUUUGCUUGUCUUUUUUUUUGCUGGCAGCGAUUCCUGCUCUCGUUAGUACAUGAAAGUCUAAUUGUGCUGGGCAGCUCUGUCUUGGCAAGCAACUCUGAAAUUAUAUGUGAAAUGGGACAGGAAUCUUGGAAAAGCCUGACACUGGAUAUCAUUAAUUCUACUUUGGUAGGGAAGUUUUUCUCAGGUGAAUUAUGUGCU